GGCGAACGGGUGAGUAACACGUAGGGAACCUGGCCAUACCUGGGGGAUAAUUUCUGGAAACGGAAACUAAUACCGCAUGGGUUUUGCUUAAGCCUUUAAGCGAAAUGAAAGAAGCGCGAGACGCUUCGGGGAUGGAUGGUCCUGCGCUGCAUUAGCUGGCUGGUGAGGCAACGGCUCACCAGGGCGAUGAUGCAUAGCCGGCCUGAGAGGGCGGACGGCCACACUGGGACUGAGACACGGCCCAGACUCCUGCGGGAGGCAGCAGUAGGGAAUUUUCGUCAAUGGGGGCAACCCUGAACGAGCAAUGCCGCGUGAGCGAAGAAGGUCUUCGGAUUGUAAAGCUCUGUUGCCGGGGAAAAAGGAAGGAAAGAGGAAAUGCUUUUCUUUGGAUGGUACCCGGCCAGAAAGUCACGGCUAACUACGUGCCAGCAGCCGCGGUAAUACGUAGGUGGCAAGCGUUAUCCGGAAUGAUUGGGCGUAAAGGGUGAGCAGGCGGUUCUUCAAGUCAUGAGUGAAAGGCAGAAGCUUAACUUCUGUUGGCUGAUGAGACUGGAGAACUUGAGUACAGGAGAGGGCGGCGGAACUCCAUGUGUAGCGGUAAGAUGCGUAGAGAUAUGGAAGAACACCAGUGGCGAAGGCGGCCGCCUGGACUGAAACUGACGCUCAGGCACGAAAGCGUGGGGAGCAAAUAGGAUUAGAUACCCUAGUAGUCCACGCCGUAAACGAUGAGGAGCAGGUGUCGCAAUGAAAAUGCGGUGCCGAAGCCAACGCAAUGACUCCUC
rnacentral:rRNA from 1 species